ACAUAUCGGUAGGUGAGGCUACCGCAGAGGAUACGGGUUGCUACCGCGGAUUAGUGGAGACACUAUGAGCAGGUUAACAGGCUAUGUCGAAAAACAAGGCAUAACCUAACGCAAUUGCAUGCCCUGCGAAGCUGAAGCUUGAACGAACGU
rnacentral:sRNA from 1 species